ACCAAGCCAGCUAUUACAAAGAACAAAAAUGACCACAAGCAUUUUCACUACUCAGCAAGUAGUGCAUAUUACAACAAUCAAGAUUUCUACUUAUUUCACUUUUAAAUAAAGUCGAUUACGGGUCUAAUAUCGUAGAUCGACAUACCAGGUUACUGUGGUUUAGGAAGUCCAUAAAAAUCGCCCUCCAUUCUCUUCUUCUUCUCCUCUAAUGCAUUACUGGUGGAUCUCCAUCUACAGAAAGAACCAAACAGGACCUCCAUAUCCUCCAGGUUUCUUCCCCGUGUCUCCGGUAGCAAUGUGUAGAAGAAAAUCCAAGCUAUAAUUCCAACCCCUGCAAAUAAAAAGAAAGCCCCUCCAAUUGUAAUACUCUGGUACAGGGAUAUAAAUGACAUUAAGAUCACCCCACUGAUGAAUCUAUUCAUUGCGACUCCCAUACCACAACCUUGGGCCCUUAGCCUCAAUGGGAAGAUCUCGGAACUGUAGACCCAUGCAAUGGGACCCAUCCCCGACGAGAAAAAAGCAACGGCUAAUAAUGUCAUGAGAAUGCACAAGGCGAUGGCCCACGUUAGUUGUUCAUCGGGAUAUUGAUCGAUUACAGUCAAUCCAAUGGCCAGACCUAUGAGGCAGAUUACCAUACCACCGCAACUUGAAAGAAGCAAAACUCGUCGUCCAAUCUUGUCUAGGAAAAAUGUGGACACUAAGGUGAAGAUAGUUUUCGAGACUCCUACGGCUAUAGUUGCGAGUAGUCUGUCCGUCUCAGUUUUUAAACCAGCUUUCUCAAAAAUUCGGGGACUGUAUAACACAACAGCAUCUAUGCCACUCGCCUGUUGAAAAAAAUGCACGCCAACGC
rnacentral:lncRNA from 1 species